rnacentral:sRNA from 1 species
AUUAUUUAAAUUAGUAUUUGACUUUUUAAUCCUUAAAGAGAUAAAUUAAUUUACUCUUUAAAAUUUUAUUUCUAAUGGCAUACUUAUGUAAUUACUUACAAAAAUUAAGGUUAUAUUUAAAAUGUACUUCCCAAAUAAUAUAGUAGGAUUAUAAUAUGCAUAGAAAAGUGUAUAGUGUUAUUUAUGAUACAAUAGCUAAAUUUUUUAUUAAUUUAUA